rnacentral:rRNA from 1 species
UACAGAGACUGCAAGCGUUAUUCGGAUUCACUGGGCGUAAAGGGUGCGUAGGUGGCGGGGUAAGUCAGGUGUGAAAUCUCGAGGCUCAACCUCGAAACUGCACUUGAUACUGCCUUGCUCGAGUACUGGAGAGGAGAUUGGAAUUUACGGUGUAGCAGUGAAAUGCGUAGAUAUCGUAAGGAAGACCAGUGGCGAAGGCGAAUCUCUGGACAGUUACUGACACUGAGGCACGAAGGCCAGGGGAGCAAACGGG